rnacentral:lncRNA from 1 species
UAAUUUUUGUACUUUUAGUAGAGACAGGGCUUCACUGUGUUGGCCAGGCUGGUCUUGAACUCCUGACCUCAGGUGAUCCACCCGUCUCGGCCUCCCAAAGUGCUGGGAUUACAGGCAUGAGCCACCACGCCCUGCCUAAUUCUCUAUUUGAUCAGCGACCUUUUACAAAUGAGGUUGUCUCUUUUGUCUUAAAUCAGGGAACACAAGGUGACUUUGCAAGAACAAGAAAAACAAUGGGCAGAAUUUGUUCAGUAUUUGACACAUAUUUUCCCACUUAAACCCUUACAAUAGCCCUGUUCCUACUAGUAAAGUUGACUAUAGUAUUCUGGACAUACAGAUAAAUUGCCCAUAAUUGAACACAUCUAGUAAAUGGCAGACUGGUUUUUGAGUCCUUAUUCCUCUACAUUCUGAAGCCUAUGGUUUCUAGACUGGAUGCCCCUGCACGUUGUCCCAGCUGCAAGGGCCUUCCCUGUAGUACCAUGUUAUCUAAUAAAUUUGAUUGUUCUUUGAGUAGUUCAGAGGGAGUGAGCUGUCAACCAGGUGAAGCAAAUCCUAGCAGGCUACCUGUCCAGAGGCCUAGGAUGGCAGAUCCAUAGGAAAUAAAGUCAUUAAAGAAGCUAACAGAUAAUUUGGUAAUUUUAGAAAAUUAGGGUGUUAGUUCAUUGGAUCAGAAUUCCUUAGAAUUUUUAGCCUUAUAUUACCAUGUCCUUGAGGGAUGCACCAUUUCUUGUCAUGGUAUCUGACCCAUUUCUCCUGCAAUCCACCUUCCAAAUGCCUGAAAUGUGGUGAGGAAAUUAAUUUUAUAGUUUGAUGGACAUCACUAGAUUUAUUGAGAGAAGGGGCAGGGCAUGGUGGCUCACACCAUGUAGUCCCAGCACUUUAAGAUGCCGAGGAGAGCAGAUCGCUUGAGGUCAGGAGUUUGACACCAGCCUGGCCAACAUAGUGAAACUCCAUCUUUACUAAAGAUACAAAAAUUAGCUAGGUGUGAUGGCAGGUGCCUUGUAAUCCCAGCUACUUGAGAGGCUGAGGCAUAAGAAUCACUUGAAUCUGGGAGGCAGAGGUUGCAGUGAACUGAGAUUAUGCCAUUGCACUCCAGCCUGGGAGACAGUGAGAUACCAUCUCAAAAAAAAAAAAGAGAAGGAAAACUGUCUCUGUCCAAAUGAAAGGUUAUUGCUUGAGCUUUUGAUGGGCUGUCUCAUAAACUGAUGAAAAUUUAACCAGUGAGUAGAUUUCAUACUCAUUUCCUAACCCUGUUGGCAAAUCCAGGUGGGAAACUAUAUACAUGGUGAGCAUGGAGCCAAGAUGACUUCAUGGCUAAUGUUUAUGCCUGGGGCAGGCAUCUCACCUCAGACAGUAUGAAUUCCAGGCUUAGAGAUGCUGGUCUGGGCAACCUGUCCCUAAACAAUCCCAUUUCUUACUGAUGGCUGCACCAAUGGGGUGGCUUAAGUAUUCAGCCUUAAAAAAGUGUGUUUGCUACAGCAAUGCUACACCAAUGUUACACCAACUUCAAGACAAAGCCCAGGCUCCCCCAUUCCAACCAGAUUGCUUUCCCUAAGUCCCUAUUAUAAAAAUUCUGAAUCCUUCACAUGGUUAUUUAUUCAUCCAAUAUUUAUUGAGUGGCUACUAAGAGCCAGGCGUCAGGGAUACAGCAGUGAAAAGAAAAAAUAGACAAAAACAGCUGUCCUUCUGGAGCUUACAUGAAGUAGGAGAAGAUGGAUUAUAAAUAGGUUAGAUGGGAAGGAGGGGGAAUGCUGAGAAAGGGAAUAAGUGUGGCAAUUUUAUUUUAUUUUGAGAUGGGAGUCUUGCUCUUGUCAUGCAGGCUGGACUGCAAUUGCACCAUCUUGGCUCACUGCAACCUCCGCCUCCCGGGUUCAAGCAAUUCUCCUGCCUAAGCCUCAGCUGGGAUUACAGGCGCCCACCACCAUGCCCGGCUAAUUUUUUUGUAAUUUUAGUAGAGAUGGGGUUUCACCAUGUUGGCCAGGCUGGUCUCAAACUGCUGACCUCAGGUGAUCCGCCCACCUCUGCCUCACAAAGUGCUGGGAUUACAGGCAUGAGCCACUGCACCCAGCCUAAGUGUGGCAAUUUUAAAUAAAAUCGGGAAGGCAUGGUUGAGAAAAUGACAUUUUAGCUAAGAACUGAAGCAAUGAGGGAGCGAGCCCACAUGGCUAUCUGAGGAAGAGCGUUUCAGAUGAAGGAGUGAGCACAAGCAAAAGGCUUGAGAUGAGAUGCUGUGGUCAACACACGGGACGAGGCCAGUGUGGAACCAGGUGAACAAGGAGGAGAGUAGUAGGAAAUGAGGUGACAGACUGAAUGUAUUCUACAGAUGAAGAGACAUUAGAGGGCUUGGAGGGGAAGUUGGUCUUCUCAGAGAAAAAUGUAAGAGGGGCAGCGGUGAAGACAUAGAUAUUGGUGAUUUUGGUACAGAGUAUGUAGGUGAACAUUAACUAGAUGAUACCUGCCCCUCAGGCCUGGCUGGAAUAGCUAAGUCAAAAGGAAAGAGAAAGGAAAGAUAAAGGCUUAUCUGUAGGAAGCACUUAAAGGAUUUCAGGAAACAAUUUGUUUCAGAUAAAAAUAAACAGUAUUUGUUGAGUGGUGCGUUUUAGGGGAUAUUAUUAAUUUUACCUACAAUGCCCUUACUGAGUUGAAGGUGGUGAUUAAAUAUUUGAGAGGAUGAGUUUUUGGGGGUAACUACACAUGGUAAAUUUGAGGUGUUUGACAGAAAUGCUAAUUAAGCAGUUAUUGGAGGUAUUGUAAGAGAUUCAUCUUUAGUUAGAUGGAUUGGAUGAGGUUCUUUAUAAAUGCAAAAAAUCUGACAAUUUUUUCAAUGAGGAUUCAGUAUUUGUUAGGACCUGUUAAGUAUGGAGGAACUGAGUUAACUGACAAUCCAGGCAGAAAGGUUUUAAAUGUUUUCAUUACUUCAUACAUUUAAGAGCUUGAGAUUUUUUCUAUGUAAUUCCUAAGCUUUUAAUUUUAUUUUACAAUUAUUUUUGGCAUGUGUAGUUUCUGACGUCAGCAUCUUGCCCAACUUACCAAGACUGGCUACUAUCUUUCUUGAAUCUUUUUUGCAUCAUAUGAGCUGUCUGUAGCUUCUGACUCAUUGAUGCCAUUGUCCUGUGGCGAAACAUUUGGAUUACGCAUCAAGCACACGGGGAAUGGCACAUUUUCCUCCAUUCUCUUGGCUUUGAAGAAUCUGUCUUCCUUCGUGGAUCAUGAAGUUAGGAGUUCAAGACCAGCCUGACCAACAUGGUGAAACCCCGUCUCUACUAAAAAUAGAAAAAAUUAGCCGGGCGUGGUGGCAGGCACCUGUAAUCCCAGCUACUUGGGAGGCUGAGGCAGGGGAAUUGCUUGAACCCGAGAGGCAGAGGUUGCAGUGAGCCAAGAUUGUGCCACUGCACUCCAGCCUGGGAGACAGAGUGAGACUCCACCUCAAAACAACAACAAAACCUCUAAAUAGGCCAGGCGUGGUGGCUCACGCUUGUAAUCACAGCACUUUAGGCGGCUGAGGCAGGCAGAUCAUGAGGUCAAGAGUUCGAGACCAGCCUGGCCAACAUAGUGAAACCCCGUCUCUACUAAAAAUACAAAAAAAUAGCUGGGCGUGGUGACUGGCACCUGUAAUCCCAGCUACUCGGGAGGCUGGGGCAGGAGAAUCGCUUGAACCCAGGAGGCGGAGGUUGCAGUGAGCCGAGAUCGUGCCACUAUACUCCAGCCUGGGUGAGAGCUAGACUCUGUCUCAAAAACAAAAACAAAACAAAACAAAAACCUCCAAAUUUGGUUUUCACUGUUGACCCUGAGCCAGCCAGAUCGCUGCUAGCUGCUGCCCAUGAUGGUUGAGGGCCACUCAACCUCAAUGCCAGCAUAUCAGGUGGUUUUGUCAGCUUUUCUGAACUUAAAGCCAUCGCCAUGGCAACUCGAGUAAAAAAUAAUUACCUAUAGUGUCUGUAGGCUUGUACCCUUCAGUAUAAGUGUAGAAAAGACUGAAACAAAUCAAGGAUCUAAUGUUUAAAAGGCAGGUUACUAUCCAGAUUCCCAUCUGAAAACUGGUCAGGUCAGUAAUUCUACCUGUGGCUAGGAGGAUUCUUCUGAGUAUUAGGCAAGGGAACAUAUGUCAAACGCUUAGCACAUUGCCCAGCACGUAAAGCGCUUAGCCAGUGUUUGCAGCUGUAUGAUAAUCCCUUCUAAGAAGCACAGUCCCACUCUACAAAUGAGGAAACAACGAGAAGUGACAUUCUAACCCAAAGUCACCAACAUUCACUCCAAUGGAUACUGAGGCUUCUCCUGUGCCACUCUACAACACGUAGUGAUCAAAAAUGAGGUAGACCUCCCCUACACCAACGCAGACACCCAACCUGCUCCCACAGCUGUAGGACUGGGAAUGGCAGAAAACGUAAGAAAUCCAGAGAAGUUCCCCAAAGGACCAGAGACCACAGAACCUUGGUUGCCCCACGGCACUCAGAAGUGUGAGCCAUCUCAUGGGCAUGACCGUAUUGAGCAUAGAGAGUGCUGAAUUUACCAAAAUCUAGACCAUUUGGAUUUUUCUUCACUGAUUUAUAUAAAGGGAUGUGGGAAGCUUUUUUGAAAGAGCAGCAUUUACCUUGAAGGGCUUUCCUAAAAGAGAUGCCUUUAAAAAAGCCAUAGGAUUAGUGGUUAAGUCUCUAACAUGUGAACAGCAUGUGCUGCCCAGCUACUGAGGUGAAGAGUCUAAGCUAGAUUUAUUUCUGAAGAACAAAGACCAAAAGAAUGCCUUUAUAGCUCUAUAUCUAGUCAGUCACCUUGGGCUGAACUACAGAAAGAACUGGACGACUAACACCUAAAACGCUGAAAACAAAGACACAUACACUUCCAGGUGUGGAUUUUUAUUUUCACAAAAAGACAACAAUG